rnacentral:lncRNA from 1 species
CUGACUUCCUCCAAGUGAUACUACCUGCCUUCUCUGCCAAACCCUCUGGCCCUAACCUAUCAUGUAUGAAAGGUGAAAUAGGAGCAUACUCUGAUUUCACAGUUUUAACCAUCAUCCUGUGACCCCAAAAGUCCAUCACAGGAGGGCAUAUGCACAAAGACAUUAAAUGUAAAAGAAAUGGCCUGUGCUGAGCAACAGAGAAAGCUGUAUCAGAGAUAAAACCAAACAGAUGAAUUACCUCACAGGAUUGCUGGUCAAAGACACUCGGAGAGACUCCAGGCAUGUGACAAGUCUCUCAUCUGCAGACCCCAUUUUCAGCUCAUGAAUGAAUUCCUGAGAUUCACCAUCCAACGGCAGGAAAUGAAUUGUGUAAGUUCAAAAGAAGAUCAGGUGAAGUGGUACGAAAUUCGGUGUUUUUCAUGUUUUUUGUUUUUAUUAAUUUACUAUAAUGUUAUUCAAAACAACAUUCCCAAUAAAGCAAAACAAAUUAGCACUGUAAA